GCCUCUUUAGCUCAGUGGUAGAGCGCGUCACUCGUAAUGACGAGGUCAUCGGUUCAAUCCCGAUAGGAGGCA
rnacentral:tRNA from 1 species